GAGAUUAAAGAUUUAUCGGUGAUGGAUGGGGAUGCGUCUGAUUAGCUUGUUGGCGGGGUAACGGCCCACCAAGGCGACGAUCAGUAGGGGUUCUGAGAGGAAGGUCCCCCACAUUGGAACUGAGACACGGUCCAAACUCCUACGGGAGGCAGCAGUGAGGAAUAUUGGUCAAUGGGCGAGAGCCUGAACCAGCCAAGUAGCGUGCAGGAUGACGGCCCUAUGGGUUGUAAACUGCUUUUAUAAGGGAAUAAAGUGAGAGUCGUGACUCUUUUUGUAUGUACCUUAUGAAUAAGGACCGGCUAAUUCCGUGCCAGCAGCCGCGGUAAUACGGAAGGUCCGGGCGUUAUCCGGAUUUAUUGGGUUUAAAGGGAGCGUAGGCCGGAGAUUAAGCGUGUUGUGAAAUGUAGACGCUCAACGUCUGCACUGCAGCGCGAACUGGUUUCCUUGAGUACGCACAAAGUGGGCGGAAUUCGUGGUGUAGCGGUGAAAUGCUUAGAUAUCACGAAGAACUCCGAUUGCGAAGGCAGCUCACUGGAGCGCAACUGACGCUGAAGCUCGAAAGUGCGGGUAUCGAACAGGAUUAGAUACCCUGGUAGUCCGCACGGUAAACGAUGGAUGCCCGCUGUUGGUCUGAAUAGGUCAGCGGCCAAGCGAAAGCAUUAAGCAUCCCACCUGGGGAGUAC
rnacentral:rRNA from 1 species